rnacentral:rRNA from 1 species
AGCGGCAGGCCUAACACAUGCAAGUCGAGGGGUAACAGGAAGUGCUUGCACUUCGCUGACGACCGGCGCACGGGUGAGUACCGCGUAUACAAUCUGCCUCAUACUAGGGGAUAGCCCGAAGAAAUUUGGAUUAAUACCCUAUAGUAUCUUUUUAAGGCAUCUUAUUAAGAUUAAAGGUUACGGUAUGAGAUGAGUAUGCGUUCUAUUAGCUAGUAGGUGUGGUAACGGCACACCUAGGCUACGAUAGAUAGGGGCCCUGAGAGGGGGAUCCCCCACACUGGUACUGAGACACGGACCAGACUCCUACGGGAGGCAGCAGUGAGGAAUAUUGGACAAUGGGCGAAAGCCUGAUCCAGCCAUGCCGCGUGCAGGAUGACUGCCCUAUGGGUUGUAAACUGCUUUUAUAUAGGAAGAAAAACUUUCUCGUGAGAAAGCUUGACGGUACUAUAAGAAUAAGGAUCGGCUAACUCCGUGCCAGCAGCCGCGGUAAUACGGAGGAUCCAAGCGUUAUCCGGAAUCAUUGGGUUUAAAGGGUCCGUAGGUGGACAAAUAAGUCAGAGGUGAAAUCCUGCAGCUCAACUGUAGAACUGCCUUUGAUACUGUUUGUCUUGAGUUAUUAUGAAGUGGUUAGAAUGUGUAGUGUAGCGGUGAAAUGCAUAGAUAUUACACAGAAUACCGAUUGCGAAGGCAGAUCACUAAUAAUCAACUGACACUGAGGGACGAAAGCGUGGGUAGCGAACAGGAUUAGAUACCCUGGUAGUCCACGCCGUAAACGAUGGUCACUAGCUGUUUGGACUUCGGUCUGAGUGGCUAAGCGAAAGUGAUAAGUGACCCACCUGGGGAGUACGU